AGUCAGUUCCAAAUAAGGAUGAAAGCCAUCCUAGAUGAAAGAAUAGUUAACCCUCAGCAUAGUUGUAUCUUUAAAAAAAUGGCUUGAAGUGUUUUUGUUUGACAGUUUUACCUUUUCUAAACCUAGACGAGUGCUUUCAUCUAUCGGAAAGAGCUGCAACUUAAUCUUAGUGGAAGGAUGAAGUCUUUCUUCUGUAUUCAAGUAAAGUGCAGAUAUCCCCUGUUACAAAUGAAAUCAAAUGUUACGAGCUGGAAAAUUAAGCAAGGAAUGAAGAAUAAAAGAGUUAGUUAUUAGCGGUUAGUGCUUUAAGUCAAACGGUGAGUUUUGUUAAUUGUUAAAAAGGGGCGUAAUGUUUAGUUAAACGGUGCGUUUGGCUAUAACAGAAUUGCCACAUUGCUCUCUUGUUAUUUGUUUCCUUUUAAGUACAGGUUGUAUGGGGAAAAACAAUUAUGGAAAUAUUGAAGUAAACCUUCCAGAAUUCUUCCUCCUAAAUUCUUCUCUUCUCUUUCGUGAUUCUUCUUUUCUAUUUCAAUUUUGAGAUCGUAUCAAAGGUAUCAGAGCUUUCACGAUCCCUCUGAUGGCCGGCAAUGGGGUUUCAACAUGUUUACAAAAGGAGGUUGGCGGCAUGUAGCAAGAAAUUUCCAAGAUACAAGAGGAGUUGGUUCGUUUAGAGACAAAGAUGGAAACUCGAUUCCAAGAGUUUAAGGAUGAGUUUCGAGGGGAUUUACAGACUUUUUUAGGUUAGUGUUUUGGGCCUCUACCAACUAGACCUUUACAUACGGGAAACACGGACAAAGAGAAGGGGUCUUAGGAGCUCUGCUUGGUUUUCCUCCUAAAGAAACAGAGGCACCACAUGCUCCAAUUGGACUUACUUUGGCUAGUUCGGGUAGGGUGCAUCUGAAGAACCAGUCACAGGUGGGAGAAAUUUCUGGGAAAUCAAGUAGACUUGAAUGCCCCAAGUUUGAUGGGAGUGAUUUUCGGGCCUGGUGGACUAAAUUGGAACAAUAUUUUAAGGCUAGGGGAACGCCAGAGUCUAGUAAGGUUCGCAUAGUCAUGUUGAAUCUGGAGGGCCGAGCAUUGGAAUGGCACCAUUUUUACUCCCAGAGGAAUGGUGGUCUUUAGAUGUUAUCUUGGCUAGCCUAUCUGAAGAGUCUCCAAGACCGUUUUGGAUUCGGCCAGUCUGGGAAUCCUAUGAAGGAGCUGGUAAAUUUGAAGCAACAAAGUACAGUAGAGCAAUAUCAGGAUAUAUUUGUUGGGAUAUUGAACCAAUUUGCAUUUGCCUGAAUCAUAUGCCCUUAGCAUUUUUCUUAGUAAUUUGAAAACUGAAAUUAACCACUACCUUGAUCUGUUCGAACCUUUGACUUUAAUGGAUGCUUUUUAGUUAGCUAGGAAGAUUGAGGUGCUCUUAUCCUGUUCGGUAAAAAAGUGCACAACACCUGUGGUUAGCUCUCCUAGAUCUCUACUCAACCCUUCUGUGAUAUCAGGUUACUCUUCAACUCCUACAAGGGUUGUUUCAGGUUCACAGUCUGUUAACAGUACACCAACUACCAAAUCAAGUUCUCGAUCCAUUUCACCAGCGUUGAUGGCGGAGCAGAAACAGAAGGGGCUAUGCUUUUGGUGUGGAGCCAAGUAUCAGGUGCGACACAAGUGUGUUAGGUCUCAAUUAUAUCAAUUUUUGUUGGAACCUCUUUCUGACAGUGAAGUAGAGGAAUUCCAAGAAUAUUCUGACAAACUCGAAGAGAAUGGUUCAGAAGAGGAGUCGUCCAAAUCUCCAGUCAUUUUACUACAUGCUCUUACUGUAAUAUCCCGAAUUAGGGCCUAAUCGGAAUAAUGGUUUCGUUACCACAAAUCCGAGAUAGAAAUAAUUUUUUUAUAAUUAUUUUGAGGUCUAUGAUAUGAUUGCAUGAUUGUGUGAAAAUUUCGUGAAGAAAUUCUAUGCAUAAAGUGCUUAAUUUGAAAUUUGGGACUAAAUUGAAUAAAUUGCAAAACUUGUGUUCUAGAAGUAUUUUGCAUAAAAUUGAAUUAGAUUAUUAAUUAUAGGUCCUUAAAGAAUAAUUUUACCAAUUUCUAAGUCUAUGGACAAAAAUUGGACAUGGAUGGAAUUUUUGGAAAGUUUAGUAGUAAGGGCAUUUUGGUCAUUUAGGGGUAAAAUGAAUUAAAAUAAAAAAUUAAAAGCCAAUUUUGCUCAUCUUCAACCCCAUGGCCGAAUAUAGCAAGGAAAAACCAUGGAUAGGGUUUUUAAAGCUUCCAAGCUCGAUUGUAAGUCCGUUCUAGCCUCGUUUUUAAUGAUUUUUACGUUUUUGGAGUCUCGGUAGCUCAAUUUAGCUUAUGCUAGCAAUAAUUUAACCUAGGGUUUAUAUUUGGAAAAAUACCCAUAGGUGAAAUUUGUGUAUUUUGGUGUUUCAUGAUAGAAUAUGAGGUUUUAAAUUAUGUUAGACAACUUGUGCUACUCGGUUUUAAGCGUAAACUAGCAAAAGGGCUUAAUCGGUAAAAAUACCUAAUAGUCAUAAGUACAUGUUAGAGUGAGAGUUUGAUGUUGCCAUAGAAGGGAAAAAUGAUCAGAAUGUCAUAAAACAUAAUAAAAUAGGUUGAAGUUUAAUUUACGAGCUUUGGGGAAAAAGUGUAAAUAUGUGAAAGUUUAGGGGCAAAACUGUAAUUUUUCCAAAAUAUGAUUUUUGGGUCAAUUUGAAUAAUGUGAGUCCUAAUUAGACUAUAUUUUAAAUGAUAGAGCAAGGAAAACUGAAAUUCGGACUAAAAUGGGGAAAAUACCAAGUUGUGGACGAAAUGGUAAAAGUAGCCAUUUUCGCAUACGAGUUUUGACAAGCUAGCUCGGAAAUCGGAAACGGUCGGAGGCACGCUCACACUAUCCGUAUACCAUCUUGGCAUAAUGGCUUGUAUAUUUUGAGUAUGGCAUGUAUAGCAUUAUAAUCAUUUUGUGUAUAUGGUCUUAUGAUAUGGUUAUUGAGUGGUAUGGAAAUGCUUGGUAAUGAUUAGCCAUUGGAAUGGCUAAUCAUGAUCAUAUUUGAUGUUAUGUAUGCUAAAUUGCUAGCUAAUCCAUGGAAACCAUGAAAUAGGUAAAAUUUACCAUAAAAUAGAUUCAGACAGCAGCAGUGACGUGAGUUUAAAAAAUUACUAAAAAUAGUAGAGAUACAAUUAGAUGAUGAAUAAUAUAUGGAAUUAAAGAA